rnacentral:ncRNA from 1 species
UUGAGCCGUGUGAAGAGAAACUUUCAUGCACGGUUCUUAGGGGAGAAAGGCCAGUAAUGGCCUGACUUACCCGAC